GACAGAGGCCUCGAGCGUUAGGCGGAAUCACUGGGCUUAAAGCGUGUGUAGGCGGGCCCGUAAGUGUCUUGUGAAAUCCCACGGCUCAACCGUGGAACUGCUGGGCAUACUGCGGGUCUUGGGCCAACUAGGGGCAGCCGGAACAAGCGGUGGAGCGGUGAAAUGCGUAGAUAUCGCUUGGAACGCCGAAGGUGAAAACAGGCUGCUGGGGUUGCGCCGACGCUGAGACACGAAAGCCAGGGGAGUAAACGGG
rnacentral:rRNA from 1 species